rnacentral:rRNA from 1 species
GAUGAACGCUGCCGGCGUGCCUAAUACAUGCAAGUCGAGCGAACGGACGAGAAGCUUGCUUCUCUGAUGUUAGCGGCGGACGGGUGAGUAACACGUGGAUAACCUACCUAUAAGACUGGGAUAACUUCGGGAAACCGGAGCUAAUACCGGAUAAUAUUUUGAACCGCAUGGUUCAAAAGUGAAAGACGGUCUUGCUGUCACUUAUAGAUGGAUCCGCGCUGCAUUAGCUAGUUGGUAAGGUAACGGCUUACCAAGGCAACGAUGCAUAGCCGACCUGAGAGGGUGAUCGGCCACACUGGAACUGAGACACGGUCCAGACUCCUACGGGAGGCAGCAGUAGGGAAUCUUCCGCAAUGGGCGAAGGCCUGACGGAGCAACGCCGCGUGAGUGAUGAAGGUCUUCGGAUCGUAAAACUCUGUUAUUAGGGAAGAACAUAUGUGUAAGUAACUGUGCACAUCUUGACGGUACCUAAUCAGAAAGCCACGGCUAACUACGUGCCAGCAGCCGCGGUAAUACGUAGGUGGCAAGCGUUAUCCGGAAUUAUUGGGCGUAAAGCGCGCGUAGGCGGUUUUUUAAGUCUGAUGUGAAAGCCCACGGCUCAACCGUGGAGGGUCAUUGGAAACUGGAAAACUUGAGUGCAGAAGAGGAAAGUGGAAUUCCAUGUGUAGCGGUGAAAUGCGCAGAGAUAUGGAGGAACACCAGUGGCGAAGGCGACUUUCUGGUCUGUAACUGACGCUGAUGUGCGAAAGCGUGGGGAUCAAACAGGAUUAGAUACCCUGGUAGUCCACGCCGUAGACGAUGAGUGCUAAGUGUUAGGGGGUUUCCGCCCCUUAGUGCUGCAGCUAACGCAUUAAGCACUCCGCCUGGGGAGUACGACCGCAAGGUUGAAACUCAAAGGAAUUGACGGGGACCCGCACAAGCGGUGGAGCAUGUGGUUUAAUUCGAAGCAACGCGAAGAACCUUACCAAAUCUUGACAUCCUUUGACAACUCUAGAGAUAGAGCCUUCCCCUUCGGGGGACAAAGUGACAGGUGGUGCAUGGUUGUCGUCAGCUCGUGUCGUGAGAUGUUGGGUUAAGUCCCGCAACGAGCGCAACCCUUAAGCUUAGUUGCCAUCAUUAAGUUGGGCACUCUAAGUUGACUGCCGGUGACAAACCGGAGGAAGGUGGGGAUGACGUCAAAUCAUCAUGCCCCUUAUGAUUUGGGCUACACACGUGCUACAAUGGACAAUACAAAGGGCAGCGAAACCGCGAGGUCAAGCAAAUCCCAUAAAGUUGUUCUCAGUUCGGGUUGUAGUCUGCAACUCGACUACAUGAAGCUGGAAUCGCUAGUAAUCGUAGAUCAGCAUGCUACGGUGAAUACGUUCCCGGGUCU